GAUGAACGCUAGCGGCAGGCCUAACACAUGCAAGUCGAACGAAGUCUUCGGACUUAGUGGCGGACGGGUGAGUAACACGUGGGAACGUGCCUUUAGGUUCGGAAUAACUCAGGGAAACUUGUGCUAAUACCGAAUGUGCCCUUCGGGGGAAAGAUUUAUCGCCUUUAGAGCGGCCCGCGUCUGAUUAGCUAGUUGGUGAGGUAAUGGCUCACCAGGGCGACGAUCAGUAGCUGGUCUGAGAGGAUGACCAGCCACAUUGGGACUGAGACACGGCCCAAACUCCUACGGGAGGCAGCAGUGGGGAAUCUUGCGCAAUGGGCGAAAGCCUGACGCAGCCAUGCCGCGUGGAUGAUGAAGGUCUUAGGAUUGUAAAAUCCUUUCACCGGUGAAGAUAAUGACUGUAGCCGGAGAAGAAGCCCCGGCUAACUUCGUGCCAGCCGCCGCAGUAAUAC
rnacentral:rRNA from 1 species